rnacentral:lncRNA from 1 species
CACCUCUUUCUCUUCAAGUUGAGCACCCUCCAGCUCUAUAUAAGGCUCCUUUGUUCAUCAUCUCUCUUCACCUCAUUCUUCAUUUCUUUCCCUACUACCUUACUUGUCUUCUUUGCUUUCUUUUCUUUUGAUCUUCUUCUUUCUUAAUUUUUCGUUCUAUUAAUUUCACUUUCCAUGGCCACUGCUGAGGUAAUCCAGCUUUGUAACUUGACCUUUGAUUAAUUUGUAUAGAAUCCAUCUUUAUGUGAUUUGGUCUUCUUUGAGGUGCAGUGUUCAUCAAAAAACUUUUCCAGUGUCUGUUUGUUUCCUUUUCCGUUUCCUAGCAGGGAAAUUUUUUUGGCAACCAUAUCAUCUUGUUCAGUGAUUGAUCUCAAACAACUGCUAUCGAAACUUGUUAGAUAUAUGAACGAAGUUCAUGAUCCAAAGUUUGUUAUAUUUGGAAAUCAAAGAGCGUUGUAAAAAGGGUUUUAAGAGUAACAUGUGUAGCAGAAAGAUUGAUCUUCAGAAGAAAAAACAGAUAGUUUUCUUAAUUGAAAUGAAAAAAUGAAUAGAUGUGUGGGGGAUUCAAUCCAUAUGCAACUUCAUGGCAGUGUCUUGAUCAUGAUUAAUAUAAAUUAUUUUGAUUCUUCAUCUUUGUGUCUAUAUAUUAUUCAUAGUUUCAAUUAGUAUUUCAGUAAUCAUCUGGUAGUUUGAUGGUUUAAUCCCACAGGUUGUAUCUGCGACACCAGCACUUUCAGAGGAGAAAACUGAAGAAUCAGUUAAGGCAGAAGAGACUCCUGUGGAAGAGGUGGCGGCCGCACCACCUACACCAGAGCCUGUUGCUGAGGAGCCAAAGGAAGCAGAAACUGCAGCUGUGCCCGAGGAAUCUGCGGCUCCAGAAGCUGAAGCCCCUGCUGAUCAGGAUGAGACCAAGGAGGUGGUAGAACAAGUUGAGGUUGAGACCAAGGAGGUGGUGGAAAAAACUGAUCAGGCUGUGGUGGAAGAACCAGCGGUAGAGAAGACAGAAGAGGUCCCAGAGGAGACUCCUGAUCAGGAAACAAACAGCCCAGUUGUGGAGGAAACCAAAGAAGCUACAGAACCAGCUGAGGAACCAGCACCAAAACCAGAACCAGCACCUGCAGAUGAAGCUCCAAAAGAAGAAGGUCCUGCUGCAGAAGAAGAAGAGAAACCAGCUGAAGCUAAAGUGAAAGUUGAGACAGAUGAGAAGGCUGAGUGAUGAGUCUAUGAGUGUAUGGCCGAGUGAAAUUAAAAGUUUGUGUGAUGAGGGGUCUGCUAGGUUGCAUGUCUAGUUAAAGGAGUAUUAAUUUUCUUAGUAUAAUGAGGAAGGUUGAGGUGGAUGGAG